AGGGUUCGAUCAUGGCUCAGGACGAACGCUGGCGGUGCGCCUUAUGCAUGCAAGUCGAGCGAAGCUUUUCAGUAGUUUACUACAGAAAAUGACUGAGCGGCGAACGGGUGAGUAACGCGUGAGCAAUCUACCUUAGUUACAGGGAUAGCCCGAGGAAACUCGGAUUAAUACCUGAUAUUCUUUAUUUCUCGCAUGAGAAUAAAAGGAAAGGUCAGCCGAACUAAGAUGAGCUCGCGUUCUAUCAGCUAGUUGGUGAGGUAAAAGCUUACCAAGGCUACGACGGAUAGCUGGUCUGAGAGGACGAUCAGCCACACUGGGACUGAGACACGGCCCAGACUCCUACGGGAGGCUGCAGCAGGGAAUAUUGUGCAAUGAACGAAAGUUUGACACAGCGACACCGCGUGUGGGAUGACGGAUCUAGGUUUGUAAACCACUUUCAGGAGGGAAGAAAAUGACGGUACCUCCACAAGAAGCCCCGGCCAACUACGUACCAGCCGCCGCGGUAAUAC
rnacentral:rRNA from 1 species